GUUGUCAUAAAUUGUUCAUUUUAAAAAUAUAAAAUCCUUUUAAAAUGUCACAUGUUUUCACGACCCUGAAACAAAGCUAGUAUCUAAUCUGAAUGUCAGUCUUGAGAUUAAAGUAAAUUAGACCGUCUAGCAACUGAAUUUUGGAUAAAAUUUCACUUGGGAUUUUGUUGUUUUUUCCGCUUUUUAGCUCACCUGUCACAAAGUGACAAGGUGAGCUUUUGUGAUCGCGCGGUGUCCGUCGUCCGUCGUCCGUCCGUGCGUCAGUGCGUCCGUGCGUCCGUGCGUCCGUAAACUUUUGCUUGUGACCACUCUAGAGGUCACAUUUUUCAUGGGAUCUUUAUGAAAAUUGGUCAGAAUGUUCAUCUUGAUGAUAUCUAGGUCAAGUUCGAAAUUGGGUCACAUGCCGUCAAAAACUAGGUCAGUAGGUCUAAAAAUAGAAAAACCUUGUGACCUCUCUAGAGGCCAUAUAUUUCACAAGAUCUUCAUGAAAAUUGUUCAGAAUGUUCACCUUGAUGAUAUCUAGGUCAAGUUCGAAACUGGGUCACGUGGGGUCAAAAACUAGGUCAGUAGGUCUAAAGAUAGGAAAAACCUUGUGACCUCUCUAGAGGCCAUAUUUCUCAAUGGAUCUUCAUGAAAAUUGGUGAGAAUGUUCAGCUUGAUGAUAUCUAGGCCAGGUUCGUAACUGGGUCAUGUGCAGUCAAAAACUAGGUCAGUAGGUCGAAAAAUAGAAAAACCUUGUGACCUCUCUAGAGGCCAUAUUUUUCACGAGAUCUUCAUGAAAAUUGGUGAGAAUGUUCACCUUGAUGAUAUCUAGGUCAAGUUUAAAAGUGGGUCACGUGCCUUCAAAAUCUAGGUCAUUAGGUCAAAUAAUAGAAAAGCCUUGUGACCUCUCUAGAGGCCAUGUUUUUCAACGGAUCUUCAUGAAAAUUGGUCAGAAUUUUUUAUCUUGAUGAUAUCUAGGUUACAUGUGCUCAAAAACUAGGUCACUAUGUCAAAUAAUAGAAAUAACGAUGUCAUACUCAGUUGAACACUGGGUCAUGUGGAGAUAGGUGAGCGAUUCAGGACCAUCAUGGUCCUCUUGUUUA